GGGCAAUUAUGUUUGUGGUACUCAUGCGGUAGCACUACACCUCCACACUAGCAGUGUCCAGUGACAAAAGUCCGACCUGUGGUGAGAUUUUGCCCAUCCUGCAAAAAGCUACAGCAACACUACGCCGUACAAGAAGAUGACUCUGCCUUCACAAGGAGCAUAAAGGAGAACAUUUGGAAAGAUAUUUCCAAACGAUACCAGGACGCUGAUAUCAAGAGCUUCCUGGAGGAGGCCACCAUCUUGGACCCCCGAUUUAAAUCCAAAGUGGAUAAGGAUGAAGUCUGGCACAGGAUCAGGGAAGCAGCAAUUGCAGCAAAGACAGAGGCAGGAGCAGAUGAGCACCUGGAGCAAGGAGACACACAGGGAGAGUUGUUCGA